GACGAACGCUGGCGGCGUGCUUAACACAUGCAAGUCGAGCGGUAAGGCCCUUCGGGUACGACGAGCGGCGAACGGGUGAGUAACACGUGGGUGACCUGCCUCUAGCUCUGGGAUAAGCCUGGGAAACUGGGUCUAAUACCGGAUAUGACUCCACGGCGCAUGUUGUGGGGUGGAAAGCCUUGUGCGGCUAGAGAUGGGCCCGCGGCCUAUCAGCUUGUUGGUGGGGUGAUGGCCUACCAAGGCGACGACGGUAGCCGGCCUGAGAGGGCGACCGGCCACACUGGGACUGAGACACGGCCCAGACUCCUACGGGAGGCAGCAGUGGGGAAUCUUGCGCAAUGGGCGAAAGCCUGACGCAGCGACGCCGCGUGAGGGAUGACGGCCUCGG
rnacentral:rRNA from 1 species